AUUGAACGCUGGCGGCAGGCUUAACACAUGCAAGUCGAGCGGAGAGAGGUAGCUUGCUACCGAUCUUAGCGGCGGACGGGUGAGUAAUGCUUAGGAAUCUGCCUAUAGUGGGGGACAGCAUUUCGAAAGGAAUGCUAAUACCGCAUACGUCCUACGGGAGAAAGCAGGGGAUCUUCGGACCUUGCGCUAAUAGAUGAGCCUAAGUCGGAUUAGCUAGUUGGUGGGGUAAAGGCCUACCAAGGCGACGAUCUGUAGCGGGUCUGAGAGGAUGAUCCGCCACACUGGGACUGAGACACGGCCCAGACUCCUACGGGAGGCAGCAGUGGGGAAUAUUGGACAAUGGGCGCAAGCCUGAUCCAGCCAUGCCGCGUGUGUGAAGAAGGCCUUAUGGUUGUAAAGCACUUUAAGCGAGGAGGAGGCUACUGAAGUUAAUACCUUCAGAUAGUGGACGUUACUCGCAGAAUAAGCACCGGCUAACUCUGUGCCAGCCGCCGCGGUAAGAC
rnacentral:rRNA from 1 species